rnacentral:lncRNA from 1 species
UUUGUGUCCUCAGGCGGCUCCAGACCCGGAGAAGGUCUGCUCUUCCUCCCUCUCAAGCCCCCGGCGGGCCUCACCCUUAUUCCAUUUCCGUAUUCCAAUCCUCUCCUUUCUCAGCUGAGUCCCCCUUCCCCCUCUCUCAUCCUUUUCCAGUUCUCCCCUCCCCCGUCCGCCCGCCUUCCACCCAGUCCCCGCCUGCGGCAUUGCGGCUUCCUUCUCCUCCGGUGCCCCGCACCCAGCCCGCCGCGAGGUCACCGGGCAGAUUCCCUCCACUCGUCAUCCUUCGUCCUCUCCCCACCUCUGCGAGCUGGGUUUGGGGACUUCUGGGUGGAACGCAGACCAACAGUUUGUCCUUGGUGCCCUUCCUCCCUGUUCUCCAGCGCCCCAGCCCCAGACACCCGUCCCCCAGCGGGCGAAAGCCCGGGAGCGCCUUCCCCGAAAGACGUCGCGGUGCGACGGGGCCCCGGCCCUACAGUAGCAUCUUACUCCCGCCCCUGCCUGGAAAGCAGGCCCCUCCCUAAGCUCUGCGCCCUCUUCCCUGGGCGCCCUCGGACCGUGGCCCGAAGCCUAGUGUUGGGAGGGCUUGCAUGGGCGCUUGACGGCAGUCCCCGAGCCCCAGGUCCCGCCGGCUCCAGUUCCCACCUGGACUGGGGUCUUCCGCUGCCGCAGCCUCCUCCAGACGCACCGCCGCCUCCGGUUGCUGCACCCAGCUCGGAGCCCGCAGUUUUCACCGGGGAUGGAGGAGAGGGGGAGCGGGGAGCCGGGGGCUCAGCCAAUCAGAGGCGGAGAUGGGGGGAGAAAGGAUGGCAGGGUGGGGUGGGGGGGUGGGGAAGGAAGAGAAGGCGGUCCCGUAUUGGUGUGAGAGUGGCAGGUUGCGGCGGAAGGGGGCCCUCAUCCUGUGGCUGUGGCCGGGGAUCAGGGUGGGGCAGCCCAAAGAACAUUAGCCUCCUCUCUGAGCCCCGCAAUGGUUGUUCCCCUUUUAACGCUUUAACCCUUUUCUUCUGA